rnacentral:hammerhead_ribozyme from 1 species
AUCCAUCUGACGAGUCCCAGAUAGGACGAGACGUUUGUCUUGAAU